rnacentral:rRNA from 1 species
UACAGAGGCCUCAAGCGUUUGUUCGGAAUUACUGGGCGUAAAGCGCACGUAGGCGGAUAUUUAAGUCAGGGGUGAAAUCCCAGAGCUCAACUCUGGAACUGCCUUUGAUACUGGGUAUCUUGAGUAUGGAAGAGGUAAGUGGAAUUGCGAGUGUAGAGGUGAAAUUCGUAGAUAUUCGCAGGAACACCAGUGGCGAAGGCGGCU